rnacentral:pre_miRNA from 1 species
CACCACUAACAGUUGAAGCUGCCAGCAUGAUCUAAACUUCCCUAUGUCUCGAGGAAAGAUCGGAUCAUGUGGUAGCUUCACCUGUUGAUGGA